GACGAACGCUGGCGGCGUGCUUAACACAUGCAAGUCGAACGGAAAGGCCCUGCUUUUGUGGGGUGCUCGAGUGGCGAACGGGUGAGUAACACGUGAGUAACCUGCCCUUGACUUUGGGAUAACUUCAGGAAACUGGGGCUAAUACCGGAUAGGAGCUCCUGCUGCAUGGUGGGGGUUGGAAAGUUUCGGCGGUUGGGGAUGGACCCGCGGCUUAUCAGCUUGUUGGUGGGGUAGUGGCUUACCAAGGCUUGACGGGUAGCCGGCCUGAGAGGGUGACCGGCCACAUUGGGACUGAGAUACGGCCCAGACUCCUACGGGAGGCAGAAGUGGGGAAUAUUGCACAAUGGGCGGAAGCCUGAUGCAGCAACGCCGCGUGCGGGAUGACGGCCUUCGGGUUGUAAACCGCUUUCGCCUGUGACGAAGCGUGAGUGACGGUAAUGGGUAAAGAAGCACCGGCUAACUACGUG
rnacentral:rRNA from 1 species